rnacentral:rRNA from 1 species
AACUCAAAGGAAUUGACGGGGGCCCGCACAAGCGGAGGAGCAUGUGGUUUUAAUUCGAUGAUACGCGAGGAACCUUACCUGGGCUCGAACGUAAGAUGACUGUAGGUGAAAGCUUACAUCUCUUCGGAGCAUUUUACGAGGUGCUGCAUGGUUGUCGUCAGCUCGUGCCGUGAGGUGUCGGGUUAAGUCCCGUAACGAGCGCAACCCUUGUCCUUAGUUACCAGCACGUUAUGGUGGGCACUCUAAGGAGACUGCCGGUGACAAACCGGAGGAAGGUGGGGAUGACGUCAAGUCAUCAUGGCCCUUACGGCCUGGGCUACACACGUGCUACAAUGGUCGGUACAAAGGGUUGCCAAGCCGCGAGGUGGAGCUAAUCCCAUAAAACCGAUCGUAGUCCGGAUCGCAGUCUGCAACUCGACUGCGUGAAGUCGGAAUCGCUAGUAAUCGUGAAUCAGAAUGUCACGGUGAAUACGUUCCCGGGCCUU